rnacentral:lncRNA from 1 species
CGAGAAUCGCAAGAUGUCGGGCGAAAAAAAGUCGCCAGGCAUCGAUCGGAGAACAAACAGGGCUGCGCGUUCCUCUCUCUUUUCAGCUCUUCUGCAAACAACCAUACCAUCCGCCGACAAACGGGGAAAAACAUGGCGGAUCCUUUCACCGCCUCGGCGCGCUGAUGAUGAGGCACCCGGUGUGUGCGGGCGCGGAUUCCGACCCUCGUAUCUCUCAGUCUUUCUUCGUCACCCUUUCUCCAUUUCUCUCUCGUCUUUCCUUCGACUCUCUCGCGCGACAGACAAAGCACAGCCUGCUGCAGCGAGAGCACUCCGCAGACCCCUUCCGCUUCCCGGUCCUCACCGAGCCGUCUCCAUGAAAAAUCCCGGCGGGGAUCGGCAGUCGGGCGACGACUCUCCGGCAACUUCAACGUUGCUCGGUUUUUCUUCACCUUUCAUUUCGUGAGGGCAAAGUGGGAGUGCCAGUGGCGCUACUGAAGGGCCGAGACGCAAAGUAGAACUAAGCGGAGGCCCUGAGCGACUUAAGAGUGCCGUCUCCCGUUGUCCACUGGCUGUCAAGAGGGGCCGCUCCGCGUGUAUCCCUGUGUAACGAGUCGAGAGACCGGGGCCGUCCGAAGUUACACGCGAGUCACUAUAGAUGAAGCCAGGUGACAGUCGUUUCCCCCUUUUUGAUACUGCGUCCCAGUCUCCUACAGCCGUCGAUAAACGCUUCGGCAGCUGGCCACAAAGUAGCGAGCCAACAUGAGUCGGUCUCACAACUCCCGUGUUCCCCGACAUGCAUGAGACACUGCGUUCGGUUACAGUGCAGGGACCAGUUCAAGCUGAUUACGCAUCAAUCUACGCGAGAAGGGGA